rnacentral:rRNA from 1 species
CCUACGGGUGGCUGCAGUGAGGAAUAUUGGUCAAUGGCCGGAAGGCUGAACCAGCCAAGCCGCGUGAAGGACGAGGGUGCCAAGCAUUGUAAACUUCUUUUGUCAAGGGACAAAAUCAGGCUCGAGAGCCUGCCCGAGGGUACUUGAAGAAAAAGCAUCGGCUAACUCCGUGCCAGCAGCCGCGGUAAUACGGUGGAUGCGAGGGUUAUCCGGUUUUAUUGGGGUUACAGGGUGAGUAGGGGGACUGUUAAGUCAGCGGUAAAAGCCCGGGGUGCAACCCCGGCGAGCCGUUGAAACUUGCUGUCUUGAGAUGUCGAGAGGUAUGCGGAAUGCGGAGUGUAGCGGUGAAAUGCUUAGAUAUUGCGCAGAACUCCGAUUGCGAAGGCAGCAUACCGGCGGCGAUCUGACGCUGAGGCACGAAAGCGUGGGUAUCGAACAGGAUUAGAUACCCUUGUAGUC